rnacentral:rRNA from 1 species
CAGUAGCCGCGGUAAUACGUAGGUGGCAAGCGUUGUCCGGAAUUAUUGGGCGUAAAGGGCUCGCAGGCGGUUUCUUAAGUCUGAUGUGAAAGCCCCCGGCUCAACCGGGGAGGGUCAUUGGAAACUGGGAAACUUGAGUGCAGAAGAGGAGAGUGGAAUUCCACGUGUAGUGGUGAAAUGCGUAGAGAUGUGGAGGAACACCAGUGGCGAAGGCGACUCUCUGGUCUGUAACUGACGCUGAGGAGCGAAAGCGUGGGGAGCGAACAGGAUUAGAUACCCCAGUAGUCCCUGUCUCUUAUAC